GUCGAACGAGAAAGUGGAGCAAUCCAUGAGUACAGUGGCGUACGGGUGAGUAACAUGUGGAUCAUUUGCCUUUUAGUGGGGAAUAACCAUGGGAAACCGUGGCUAAUACCGCAUAAGCUCGAGAGAGGAAAGUCGCAAGACGCUGAAAGAGAAGUCCGCGGCCGAUUAGCUAGUUGGCAGGGUAAAAGCCUACCAAGGCAAAGAUCGGUAGCCGGCCUGAGAGGGCACACGGCCACACUGGCACUGAAACACGGGCCAGACUCCUACGGGAGGCAGCAGUGGGGAAUCUUGCACAAUGGGGGAAACCCUGAUGCAGCGACGCCGCGUGAGCGAUGAAGCCCUUCGGGGUGUAAAGCUCUUUCGGCAGGGAAGAUAGUGACGGUACCUGCAGAAGCAGCUGCGGCUAACUACGUGCCAGCAGCCGCGGUAAUACGUAGGCAGCAAGCGUUGUUCGGAGUUACUGGGCGUAAAGGGUGUGUAGGCGGUUGUUUAAGUUUGGUGUGAAAUCUCCCGGCUCAACUGGGAGGGUGCGCCGAAUACUGAAUGACUUCGAGUGCGGGAGAGGAAAGUGGAAUUCCUGGUGUAGCGGUGAAAUGCGUAGAUAUCAGGAGGAACACCGGUGGUGUAGACGGCUUUCUGGACCGUAACUGACGCUGAGACACGAAAGCGUG
rnacentral:rRNA from 1 species